rnacentral:tRNA from 1 species
GGUAAAAUGGCUGAGUUAGGCGGUAAAUUGUAAAUUUAUAGACGGAGGGGAUCUCCUUUUACCA